UCACUGCCCAUCCGAAAGCAACCAUUUGAUACUAUCGCGAGCUGUAUGUGCUCGACGAAAGGCCUCUGAAAGGUACGUUGGCUAUCGAGAACAGUCGAGUAGACCGAGAAACAGCACGAGGGAGAACAUCCAAGAAAUGUGUGGUCAAAUGAUUCAGCCCCCACUUUCAAGCA